rnacentral:rRNA from 1 species
AUUCCAGCUCCAAUAGCGUAUAUUAAAGUUGUUGCAGUUAAAAAGCUCGUAGUUGGAUGUUGGGUUCUAGUUAUGUUCGGUCUCUUCUAGAGUACUGUCAUGCUGGCCCUUUUUCUCGAGGCCUAUAGGUGCACUUAACCGUGUGUUUAUAGUGUUCGGGACUUUUACCGUGAGAAAAUUAGAGUGUUCAUAGCAGGCUAGUGCUUGAAUAUUACAGCAUGGAAUAAUGGAAUAGGAUCAUGAUCUUAUUUUGUUGGUUUCUAAGAUUAAGAUAAUGAUUAAUAGGGAUAGUUGGGGGCAUUAAUAUUUAGUUGUCAGAGGUGAAAUUCUUAGAUUUACAAAAGAUUAACUUCUGCGAAAGCAUUUGCCAAGGAUGUUUUCAUCA